GGUGUGGUAGUUCAGUUGGUUAGAAUACCGGCCUGUCACGCCGGGGGGUCGCGGGUUCGAAUCCCGUCCACACCG
rnacentral:tRNA from 2 species